rnacentral:rRNA from 1 species
UGCCAGCAGCCGCGGUAAUACGAACUGCGCGAACGUUAUUCGGAAUCACUGGGCUUACAGGGUGCGUAGGCGGCCAACCAGGUCAGGUGUGAAAUCCCACGGCUCAACCGUGGAACUGCGCUUGAAACCGGAUGGCUUGAGUGAGCUAGGGGUGCACGGAACUUCCAGUGGAGCGGUGAAAUGUGUUGAUAUUGGAAGGAACACCAGAAGCGAAAGCGGUGCACUGGGGCUUGUCUGACGCUGAGGCACGAAAGCCAGGGUAGCGAACGGGAUUAGAUA